rnacentral:ncRNA from 1 species
GCUUAAUUUGACUCAACACGGGGAAACUCACCAGGUCCAGACACAGUAAGGAUUGACAGAUUGAUAGCUUUUUCUUGAUUUUGUGGUUGGUGGUGCAUGGCCGUUCUUAGUUGGUGGAGUGAUUUGUCUGCUUAAUUGCGAUAACGAACGAGACCUUCUCCUGCUAAAUAGCUUGGUUGGCUACGGCUGACUAAAGCUUCUAGAAGAGCUGCAGAACUAUGAACGAUAUAAGGUUGGUCCAGAGAUUCCUCUGGAUUACUAUGC